rnacentral:rRNA from 1 species
GAUGAACGCUGGCGGCGUGCCUAAUACAUGCAAGUAGAGCGAACGGAGGAGAAGCUUGCUUCUCGGAUGUUAGCGGCGGACGGGAGAGUAACACGGGGAUAACGUACCUAUAAGACGGGGAUAACUUCGGGAAACCGGAGCUAAUACCGGAUAAUAUUAUGAACCGCAAGGUUCAAUAGUAAAAUACGGUCUUGCUGUCACUUAUAGAUGGAUCCGCGCUGCAUUAGCUAGUUGGUAAGGUAACGGCUUACCAAGACAACUAUGCAUAGCCGCCCUGAGGGGGUGACCGGCCACACUGGACCUGAGCCACGGUCCAGACUCCUACGGGAGGCAGCAGUGGGGAAUCUUCCGCAAUGGGCGAAAGCCUGACGGAGCAACGCCGCGUGAGUGAUGAAGUUCUUCGGAUCGUAAAACUCUGUUAUUAGGGAGGAACAUAUUUGUAAGUAACUGUGCACAUCUUGACGGUACCUUAUCAGAAAGCCACGGCUAACUACGUG